GAUGAACGCUGGCGGCGUGCCUAUACGUGCAAGUCGAGCGAACAGACGAGGAGCUUGCUCCUCUGACGUUAGCGGCGGACGGGUGAGUAACACGUGGAUAACCUACCUAUAAGACUGGGAUAACUUCGGGAAACCGGAGCUAAUACCGGAUAAUAUAUUGAACCGCAUGGUUCAAUAGUGAAAGACGGUUUUGCUGUCACUUAUAGAUGGAUCCGCGCCGCAUUAGCUAGUUGGUAAGGUAACGGCUUACCAAGGCAACGAUGCGUAGCCGACCUGAGAGGGUGAUCGGCCACACUGGAACUGAGACACGGUCCAGACUCCUAUGGGAGGCAGCAGUAGGGAAUCUUCCGCAAUGGGCGAAAGCCUGACGGAGCAACGCCGCGUGAGUGAUGAAGGUCUUCGGAUCGUAAAACUCUGUUAUUAGGGAAGAACAAAUGUGUAAGUAACUAUGCACGUCUUGACGGUACCUAAUCAGAAAGCCACGGCUAACUACGUG
rnacentral:rRNA from 1 species